GGGGCGGAGCCUCGGCUCUCCAAUAGCGGCCAGGGAGCGCGCUUGCGUCGACUCGGCGGCGCGGCUUUUCCGGACGCUCAUUGGCCACCGGACGGCAGCGAGGCGUCGAUUGGCUGGGGCGUGCCGUCUGUCGGCGGCAGCAGGGUAGUGCGGACCGCGCGUGGGGCCACGUGGGGGCCCCCGGCGGCCGGGUUCCGGAGCGUAUCGCGACGUCGGAAGGGGCCGCAGUGCCCACCUCCGGCGGUCGCACACCGGGUUCUGCUCCCUAGCUGGGAUCCGAGGCGUGGAGAGCAGCCGUUGUGACCCGGCGAGGGGCUGCGGGUGGCUGCAGAGGAAGCGUGGUGACGUUGCGUCGGGCGCUGGCACGCGUUGGCCGGGCUGCAGAAGCGGGCCGCGGGCAGAACGUAUCCCGCGCCGGCCUCGGACCGGGCUCCUCUGUGACCUGAACAAAUUGCGUGGUUGGUCGGGGCGCGACGAGGACUUUUAUUUCCCCGAGCGGGCGGCUGUGGAAUAAGAAAGUUUUUUUGUAAACGAGUUCCUAAGUUUACCGGCAGCCGCUAGGAAGAGGCCCGCACAUGCCCGUUCAGCACCAGAAAGACCGAUUUUUUUCUUUUGACAGACUGCGCCUUGAGGAGUGGGCGGGAAAUGUGCGGUUAUGAAAAUGUCAAGGAACUUUUCCGAGCCCCAUUACGCAGUGCUAAUUACAGAAUGUGAAAUAUUAAUUGCUAAUCGCGCUACAUGCAGUUGGAAUGCCAAGGAAGGUGAAGCUGCGGAAGCUAUUGGCGACAGUGGCAGGGAGGUUUCUGACGGUUCACAGCCUCACCUGGAGCAGAGGCUGCAGUGAACCGGCAGGCCUUCCAGGGAAACUGCACACCUGUGUGCUGUGAGGGACCCAGGAAACUACAGCAUGAGGAAAGAGCUCGGGGAUUUGAUCUGCGACACAGUGCGUGGCCAUGUGGUACAUGGCUCAGAGCAAAUCUGGUCCCCUCCCGAGGUUUCAGAAUAAGAGGGUCUCUUCUGUGCUGCUGUACCCUGACGUGAGGGCGGCCCGCUGAGACCACGCACCUGUCCGACUUCCCGGUCGGGAAGGACACGCUUUUGGCCCCCGCUGACUGUUUGGGUUUUUUGGCUGCAGCGCAUUUCUGAAACGAGAAGCCCCACGAAGCCGCUGAGAACCAGGCGGAAAGCCCCUGGGCUUCAGCUGCAGGGCCAGGAAGGGAACCCUGGAGUCACCCUGCAGAGGGAGUCACACAGGAGCAAGGCAGGCCUCGGCGGGGCUGGGAGCAGAGCGAGGCGCAGCUGCCCUCCGGCCCCAGCUGCAUCUCCUACCUUGCCAGCUGCCGUCUGCUUGUUCGGGUCAAACUGGGAGGAAGGUCUGGAUUUGCCAUCUCCUGAAAGGUAAGCACAGGCCCGGAGGCCAGGGCCCUUGAGGUGACGCACAGCUGGCUCACAGUGUGACAGGAGCCCCACCCUGUGCCGUGACCCGCAUUUCCGUUCGUCCUAGCCUCUCUGAGUAGCCGAGGCCAGGUCAUCUCGCACAGGUGGCUGCUGAGGGCAGGUGACCACUUUCACAUCAAGCAGCUCCACCGCCAGUGUGAGAGACCCGGCCCGACGCGCUGCCCGGGAUGAGGGCCCCCGUGUGGACUGUCCUGACUGGCACCCUCAGGUCUCCACAGGCUGUGCCACUCUGCGGGCUGAGCCAGGGGUACCACGUGUGCCUGCAGGGCAGCCGGGCUCCCUGGCUGCAGCCCCAGGACUGGCCUCCAGGUGUUUGGCGAUUUCAACACACAAGAUCUUUGUGCUGGGGGUGCAGCACGGACGUUUCUAGGCAGUGACAAGGAAGGGGCCGAACCCACUGGCCAUACAGCGGCCAGGGCCCUGUCCGUUCAUCGGUGGGUGCCCGUGCUCUCCUGGCCCGUGGCCCCUCGGACAGUUCCUCACCAGUGAAAGCCUUGAAGUCCGACUGGCUGUAGUCAUAAGGCGUGAACUCUUUCUCGGGUGGAGCCGGGGCCUUUGGCUUCCUGGCAGUCUUGAGUCGUUUCUCCUGCUUCUGCUCUGUGGCCCUCGGGUCACUUGUGGUUCGCUCCCUUUUCUUGGCGGCGUUUUCCAGCUGCAGGGAGUGUGGCCAGGGAGGGAAGCGCAGGGGCGCGUGAGAGGACGAGGCCCUGCUGCCUCCAGCACAGACAGAACUUGGUCUGAAAGGCUUGGGGUAACUGGGGCUGGAUUGUGGGGGUUUGCGGAUACUGUGUAACUGGAGGAAUGCAGGGAGGGGCCGCGGCCUGGAGGCGGACAUUCCGUUCUGCCUGCCCCCGUGGACCGCACACAGCAGCCGCAGGGCUGUACAAGCCUGUCCAGUGCUUCUGUGCGUGGCCGAUGGUGCCGCCCUCCACCUGCAGGGCCGUGUUCAGAUUCGGGGCAUCACAUGAGGGAGGCCUGUGUCACCUGAGCGUCAUAAACUACAGUGUACAGAGGGGCUGGGGCCCAGCAAGCUGCAAUUCAGGACAAUCAUGUGGCCGGUACCAGCUGGCCCAGUUCCUAACUGGAUAGAGACAGCAGCCACUUAAAACAGCAGGGUUAGCAGGGUGCCCUCGUGUGGCCUGGCACUCCAGAGACAGAGGCAGGAUGAUUACUGGGCGAGUAAGGUCAGCUUGGGCUUCAGUGAGUCCCUGCCCCAGAAAACCCUGGGAACUCCUAAGCCUUCUGGCGAGGUGAGGAUAAAGUGACCCCAGGGCACAGUGGCACAGGAAACGGGGGCUCUGCCUGGUGCUGCCAUGCCAGUUAACAAACAGCAGAAGAUAGUGUCAGGGAGAGACCCUCGAGGGCAGGGCAGGGUCAGCGAGGGCAGGGGAGGGGCAGAGGCUGGGUGGGGACAGUGAACUGGAGCCUGUGGGUGAGCUCUCCGCUAGGACAGUCCAGGAGUCCCGGACGUGGAUGGAAGGAAACCAGCACGCACCACGGCCUGCUGUCGCACGGAGAUGGCCUGCCCUGCGGUGGCUUUGUACUCUUCCUUUGCCUGCUCCCGGGCGGCUGCAAGGCAGAAGUGUCCAUGGAACAGGCGCCGGCGCCCGGCACCUCUACCUCGACUUGGGCUCCUGCCCCACUCAUCCUCUGCCGCAGGCUGUCUGGGUUCAGGACCGCCUGCACAAGGCUGACCUUGACUGUCACCUGUGGCUGCUCAGGACCCAACCCUCUGGCCGGGCCCCCUCCCCUCUCAUCUGCGACACCCAGCUCCGUGCGGCUCCCGCUUCGGGAGGGGCUCUGCUCAACGUCAUGCUGACCAGCCGCUUCCUCAGCACCACCUGGGGACAGUGGUCACAGCCCGCCCAGGCGCUCCGCACCCCUCUGCCGGCACCCCUCCCUUGGCUUCACGGCACAGGGCACAGUCCACCGCGCCCAGCAGGGGCCGAGCCCCACCGCCAGGGCGGCUCCUGCUGACUCUUGCCCGCAGUCCAGCGGCGCCGUCAGCAAGCGCUGCCCUGUAUCAAGCACGCUGCCUUCGCAGGGAAGUCACGGCCACCUGUCUGCUCCGCCGCCUUCUUCUUGGCAGUUUCUUUAGCUUCUUUCUGUACUUGUACCUGGCUGGCCAGCUUCCAACGGUUGCUGAUCUGCAAUGCAAACAGAACAAAAACCUCCAGAGCUCUGCCACCCAGCCGCUCCUGAACGUGACCGGGCAGCAGAGGGCUCGAGGGCCACCUGCUCCAGACCUAAGGACACAAGAGCAAAUCUGCUGGCUUCGUUUCUAAGACCCUCCGAGGAGAGCAAAGUACAGCGGUAUUCUGGGCCCUGGGCCGGAGGCUCCCCCUGCCACUCCAGCCCCUCUGGAAACGGGGGACCCCGGCGCCACUGGCCCCUUCCUUUAGGAGACGGGGAGGCUGGGUGUGGUGACAGCGGCCUGGAGCAGGAAGCACGCAAGCAAGAAGCCUGGAGGUUGGGGCCCAGCCCAGGCAAUUCAGCUGCCCGGUGAGACCUGCUCAGGGCAAAAAAAAGUAAUAAAAGGGAGCGGCUCAGCCCCCACCAGCACUGCCAACUAAGAAUAAAACCCAGAGGAGGGGAUGGGCCCGGCUGGGGACUGCCCAGGGCACAGGGUCAGUGACAGCAGCCGGGGCUCCAGGCAGGACCUGCCCAGGCGGUGCGCUUCUCUGGCACCCACGCAGAACCGAGGCAGUGGAGGACACGGGCGACCCGCAAGGAGCGGGGAAGGACCAACAGCUGCCAGGUGCCUCCGGAGUGGCGGGGGGAGGCAGACCCUCAGCAACAGGGCCCGGGCCUGCCACGGUGUCGCUGAGUGACACCAUACUUGCCACACUUGUCACCACCCUUCCUACGGAGAGGAGGGAGGCUUCCUGUCGCCAUGCUGGCUCCCAGAACCAGGCAGAGACCAGGGUGAGGGCAUUCGCAUUCCCAGAGCUGCUGAAGGAUGGAAGACCAGGUUCCAAACCUGGGCUGUCGGGGCCGGGUGUGAUGUGCCUGCCCUAACCCCUGUGUUUGGAGGCCAGCCUGGGAUACACAGUUCAAAAGCCAGCCUCAACUACAUAGCAGGACCCUGCCUCAAAAAAACAAAAUGAGGGGGCUGGGGGUUUAGCUCAGUGGCAUAAGCGCCUGCCUUGCAAGUGUGUGGUCAUGAGUUCAAUCCCUGGUACCGAUAAAAAGGAAAAAGACCAAAAAAAAAAAAAAAAAACCCCAAACAAAACGAUAUAAAACAAAACACUCAAACUGGUGGCUCGAGUUGCUCUGAGGUGACACACAGCAGAAACAUAUCAAGUCAUGCAUGUAGGGUUUGUGUACUGUAUCACAUAGAAACAAACCUCAAUUAAAAACACAGAACAAACCUUUCUCUCCCGCAUGCUGGGGAUGGACCCCACAUAGCCAGGCCCCAAACCUGUCUCCUGCGAGGCUUCCCAGCGCUCCUGGGAGCCUGGCCCAGGCCCUGCCCUUCCCUUAGUGUUGAAGGGGCCUUCUUUUGUGGUCAGGGGCCAGAGGGUCCCCACAUGCAGCCUGGCUAAGGCAGGCACCUGGCUCAAAGAAGCAGGACGCCCCCCAGCACGUCACUCGUAGACAGGGUGUGGCGCCCACUUACCUCGUAGAUUUUCGAGGAGGGAUCGAACUUCGCUGCCUGGGAGAUGUGGGCCCGGUGCUCUAGCGAAGGCAGGAACUGCACAAGGGACGCCAGGAAACAGCUGAGAGGUGCGCUGGGACCCUCGGUCGGGGCCCUCAGAUGGCUGACCUGAGUCCCCCCUGGAUGCCAGAGAUGGGGGACCCACAGGACCCGCGCUAGCCCUCUGUAGAGCCCCAUGGCCCCGCUGCAGCUACUCACCAUCCUGAAUGGGUUCUCAAAGGACUCCAUGAUGUUCCGGGCCCUUUUCUGUGCGGCUGUUAAUGGAGUGUUUCCAUUUUCCUCGGCACUGGGUUCCUGCAGGGACAGUCACGAUCAUGUGGUGACAUCAGCAUGCAGGCCAGGCCAGGAAGAGUAAUGCUGACAGCAGUGGCUACGCUCUCUUAAACUCUGCUGGGGACAAGGUCCCUGCCUGUGAGCACACAGAGGGGUGCAGUGUGCACCUGCCAGUGCCGCCGCGCCGCGCCCUCGCCCUCUGACAGCCGCUCACGAGGCUUGCACAGGCCGUGCAGGUCUUUCACAGCCUUUUGGUUAAUGUGGCAGCACAGGGAUUUAAAUGAGGUCUGCUUGAGGUCUUAACUGAUGCCGGAAAUUUAACAGUAUAAAUCUUUCUGGGGAAUGAAUGGAAUUAUGUAAUGAAUGUCCUUCCCUAAAAUCUGCAAGGUGCUUUGCUUAACCUGUAGUGUCACUUUGUAACAGCCCAGACAGAGCACAGUCCCUCAGACGGAACACAGCACGGUUUAUGCCUCUAGUCUGUACUAAGGCCCUCAGCCGCUACACCUCCUGAAGGCUCUGUUAACCCUGCGCUCACGAGGCUGAGGCAAGAAGACUGCAAGUUAGAGUUCAGCCUGGGCAACUCGGCAUCUUGGUAAGACCCGGUCUCACAGUAAAUAAAAAGGGCUGGGGUGUAGCCCAGCGCUAAGGCUCUGGGUUCAAUCCCCAGUACCAGCAAUAGGGAAACAAACCCUCACACCCUAAAGCUCCUACAUGCUGCUGCUGCUGGUGACUGACCCCAGGGCUGCCCACGUUCUGGGCAGGCGCUCAGCCACUGACUGUCCCAGCCCGGGGUAUCUGUUUCUGCAGUGCUGGGGACUGAGGCCAGGGCUAGGCAUGUUGCAGCACUGAGCUAGCUCCCCAUCUUUUCUCACGAACUGCUGCAACAAGACCCCAUCUAAAUUUAAGUGAUUAAGUCGGAAGAGAGCAUGAAGGGAGCAAGCAGGUGCAUCCUGCAGGCGGCAUCCCAUGCCCCUGGCCUUACCACAACGUGGAAUAUACGGCUGUGAUUGUAAUCCUAUUAACUUCUGUACUGCUGCUUUUGAAGACCACAUGCUUCUGGCGUUGGGGUUUGACCUCACAUUUUUAUUUUUACCUUGAGACAAGGACUAAGGUACCCAGGCUGGCCUCGAACUUGUAAUCUUCCUGCCUCAGCCUCCUAAAUAGUGGGAUUAUUAGCCUGGCAUCAUGCAGCUCUAUCAUCUGGGCACUGAGCGCACUGGACACCGCUCCUCUCUCAGAUGGGUAACACUCUUGUUUCUCCGCUCUUUCUGAGAAUCACCUCCCCGCUCCCUGGCUGUCCGGAGUCCUUGGACCUUCAUCUGUGCGCUCUCCCUUCAUCUGCUUGCUUCAGCACGAAGCCAUCCCGCCCAGGGUGCACUCAGGCCUUCUUUUGGCAAGGAGUCGAGAGGUUCGAUCCCUGGUAGCCCAAGGGGGACCGACGGGAAGGCGGCCCCGUGCACAUCCCAGGAGCCUGGCCCAGCCCGAGUGAACCAUGCAGGUUCUCUGGGAAGGGCACAGUCACUAACAGUCGUGACUGCUGUCACCUCUUCUGGGGACAGGCAACAAGGCUCUGCCCACUCCCCACUGCCAGCACUGGCAGGCUACUUCCUAAGUGGUUCAAGCACAGAAAGGCAUCCUAGUGUCCCCUUUCCCAGGCACCUGGAGGGGCGCUGGCUGCAGGCAGCAGACAGAGACGCGCUGCUCCUGCUGAGCCCCACGAAGGACCAACCCGCUGCUGCAGCUACCGCCUCACCCUGCACGCUCCUCCCUCCAAGCGACAUCCCUGGAAGACUCCUCCACACACAGGGCUCAGCAGAGGAGCCUCCCGAGUGCUCGCUUCUCCACACCACUCCCCAUGCUGUCAAGACUGCAUCUCGCCAUGGGGAGCACCUCAGGGGCCCGAGACACCCUUUCCUCCCAUCCUGGUCUCACUUCCGCAGCUGGCACGAUAUCUGUGCUCAGUCAGACACGCGCCGUGAGUGACAACCCGGAGGACUGCAGAGCCAGGGCCCACAGCUGCGGACUCUACCUGAACAAUCCGCAUGGCUACGGAGGGCCGGGCCUUGCUUUGCCGGGAGGGGAAGGGACUCCUCACUUCCUUGUACCAGAGCUGCCCCUCAGCCCCGGAAGUCCUGCCAGCACUGCUGUCUGUCUGACAGACGACAGAUGUCUUUAUGAUCACACGACUCUCUAAGACACCCAGGCUUAAACUUACAGGGAUCCGCCUGCUGUGGGCCCCCUGCUGUGGUGCUGGAGUUACAAGCAUGCCCCACAAUGCCUGGUUCUCACAGCACUCUUUGAUUUUGGUUUCUGGGUCAAUAACCUUUCAAAAAAUUGUUAGCAUGCCUUACCACCUACUAAUACGGCUACUGAGCCGAACUACCUGGACUAUUCAUGAGCUCUGUGCAUGAGGGGAGGUAUUUAAAACUGUUGUAACAAGGGCUAAAGACAUAACUCAGAGGCACAGCACCUACCUAGCAAGUGCAAGGUCCUGGGUUCAAUCCCCGGCAGAACCUGCCCUGCAAAAGAACUGCCCUACUACAACACAAACCACGUAAACAUUUAUUUUAUGGAAUAAAAAUGUUGCCUAAUUGCAUAAUGGGGAAGUGAAGCCAACUAAGAUAUUUAAACAAAACAAAAAGAUCUCAAUGAAAGCACGCACACCUAGCACUAACGGCUGCACUGCCCACGCAGGUACCCACUUGUGGCCUCCCCAUGCGUUACCCAGACACACAUCUGCGUUUUCAGGGACCUGCCCCACUUUCACCUCAACUUGCCCAGACGUCGGCAUCUCCUUCGCAAAGCCAGCCCUUUCUGAAUUCCUGUCUCUGUCUGUGGUUCUCACAGCUUCCCUUUCCCCUAGGCCUUAAAUUUGGAAUGAGCUGGUGGGGCACGCUGGCACACGCCUGUAAUCCCAGCAGCCCAGGGGAACUGUGAAUUCAAGCCCUGCCCGGGCAAGCUAGCCAGACUCUGUCUUACAAACCAGGCUGGGGAAACUGUUUGGUGUUCAACGCUCAGCACCACAACACUAAGCCAAACCAAGUACGCCAAGUGGUCCUGGCCCCGCCUUCAUCCCCCAAACUGGUCCGCUGCUGGGUGAUGCCUCAGCAGCACUUAGUGCGCAGAGCCAGAUGGCAGCCCUUGCCACCAUCCGCGUCCAAGGCCCGCUUCUGAUGCUCGCGGUACCGUCCCUUCCAUUCUGUGACCACCAUGUGCCCCGGCCACUUGCUUCCCUCGUGGACUGCCGACAGGCUCGGAGGCAGCCUCGCUGCAUCUCACUCUGUCACGUGAACUGCUCUGUGGCAACAGCUCACUGGCCCAGUUACCAGAUGUUCACACUUGCUGCCGGACCAUCAACGACAAGGUCAUAAAAUAGGAAGGGUACGUUUUCGCCCCUGCCCACCAUAAAGAAAAUGAAGGCCCUUGGUCUAACCCCGGGACCACAGGCGCACACAAAGCUGAUGGAGACCCACUCACUGGAUUCCCCAAUUCCUGCCUUCUCUGGGUUGUUUAGGUUGGACAGCAGCUCACGGACACAGGACACCAUGAGUACUAGGCUGCUGGUCAGGGCCUUGGAGCGGGAGGGCUUACCUUGAGCAGGGGCAUCUCUCGAGCCUGCUGGAUUAGAAGGUGCAUUUCAUUGAUCUGCUGCCGCACAAGAGGUGGAACCGGGUUGCAGCAAGCGAUGAUGCCCUGAGGUUCCCUGAGGACAAGCACACACCCACCUCACCACAGAAGCACGGCCCACAGGACUGAGCUCCUGAGAGGCUCAAGUACCAUCGCAAGUGUGAGCUCAACCCAGGAAUGUAGUGACUUGGUGAGAUUCUGUUUCAAAACAUGUAACAAAACAAAGAGGGCUGGGGAUGCAGCUCAGUGUGAAGGCCUGCGUUCAGACCCAGAGGCGGGAGGCAGACAAGGAGUACGGCCCGGACAGUCAGAGCCCCACGGCCAAGCUGCAGGCCCGGGGCGCCACUGCGCGUGAGCUCUCGCUGCCCGGCUCUCAGCCUGACUCCAGCAGGCGGCCCCGGGGCCCGAAGACUGCAGAUGCGCUUCCUGCCUAUGCUUCAACUCACGUCCUAAAAUGCUGACAACCCCAGGGCUCCGCUUGGAAGAAAGCACAGAUGACAGGGUCGGGAGACUGACACUGAACUCGACUGAUUAAGGCAGUCACUAGGACCUGCCCUUUGAAGGUGUCACUGCUCACACAGCAGUCCUCAGGCUACCAUCUGGGACUCUUUGGGCUCCCACCUUCUGAGCCCGGAGGGCUGACACAGCCUGAGCAGGUCUGCAGGAUGGGAGAGCUAGGAUGGAGGUCGGACUCACUUGGGCAGCUCCUCAGCUAUCUUGAGCAUCAUGUGGUUUGGCAGAACAUAUCUGGAACCAAACACAACAGCAUCACGUGACGCUCAGCCAGCAAGUUCCAUUCCGUGUCCCAUUCCAUUGUGGGGACAGCAGGCUUCGCGUCCACAGGGAAAGCGUCCCUUUCCCAUUAGUCCCUUACCCGUAGCUCUCGUCCUCCCUGCGCGCUGUUUUGUCCCUCCAGGCAAACAGCAGCUGGAAAGCUGUCAGCUGCUGUGAGUUGAGAUGCUUCUUUUGCUUCCGGUACAGUUCAAGAUAGGACUCGUCUGUGAAGAUAGGCUUGACAAAUUUCUGCAGAACGCAAAGAACAUCUGAGAUCAGUGGAAUCAAAAUUGUGCCCGGGUUCUUGAGAACAUUUGGCUCUCGUCACAGACCUAAGGAGUGAAGUGAGAGCCAGUGCCUAGUCAGACAUGGCGAGCCUGCGUGCCAGCCUGCGUGCCCGCCUGCGGUGGCCCUGAGGCUGUACCUUGAGGCAGAUGUCCCUGCUCCGCUGCCACACCACCUGCAGCUGGACAGGCUGCUCGUUGCCGCGCUCCCACAGGUCCAGCCUCAUCUUGUCAUAGAUGUACAGCAGGUAGUGGGUGUCGUCCCGGGCGUAGCUGAGCAUUUCCUCUGGCAGCGGCCUAAAAUCCCAGGCCGGGACACGGUUUCAGUGACUGUCCCCCAGACAGCAGUUGCACUUGUGUACCUGUAGUCGCUAGGACCUUCUGGAGCCCUCUGACCUCAGUAAUUCUUUCCCAGUUAGUGCUGUGGCUGCAGGAGCAUUUAUAUACUACACCACUACUGCAGUGGCUGGCGGAGGGGGAGGCAGGAUGACGAUGUGGUUAGAAUAAGACCAUUGCAGUCGGGGCUGGGGAUUUAGCUCAGCAGCGUAAGCGCCUGCCUUGCAAGUACCUGGUCAUGACCCCUACCUAAAAAAAAAAAAAAAAAAAAAAAAAAAAAAAAAAAGACCACUGCAGUCCCGGGAGUGACUCUUAGAUCCGUUCAUCUAUUCCUGGGUAGGUUCCUAACCUAAGUGUUACUGGCUUCCCCUGACACCGUGACAGGCACUUCACUGGCUGUUGUGAGGAUGACACAGGAAACACCCCUGAAGAACCCAGUCCAAGAGAAGGGCUUGCUAGCUGGGACUGAUUUUCAGGGUCUCACUAAGUCACAAAAUUGCCCAGGCUGGGCUUGAACUCAUGAACCUACGGCUGCAACCUCCUACAAUGCUGGGAUUACAGGCGUGUGCCACCCCAUCUAGCUUGCUUAUAUUUCUAUUUAGAAACCCUGGCUCGAAGAGAUGGAGAAAAGCCCGUGUUCACACGACACCGCAGCCCAGGGAGGAAGCCAGGCCCUGAAGGUGCUCAGAGGGCAAGGCCUCCUGAGAAUGUGACCAGCCUGUGCGACAGCAGACAUGAAUGCCACACUCAAGUCCCAGUGCACCCUCGGUUUCCCCCACAGGCGAGGACCCUGCCAGAGCUGGGUGGCCCACACACUGGACAUGGCGCACCUUCCCAGAAGGCCGAGUACAACCAUCAGCCCCACGUGAGCUCCGCACGACCAUCCUAAAAUUUCCUACCACUUCUGAGCCGCAGAGAGCACUAGCGCCACUCGUGCCCGUGCCCGGGUCUCCAUGCUGGGAGAUUACAGGACUGCCGGGCUUUCUUCUGCAACCCACACUCCCACAUCGAGUGCAACUGACCGGACCCUCCAGUCUGCCAGCUGGUACUGCUUGUUGGACUCCACCCCGCAGUAGAGCCUCAGCAGGUGGUCGAGCGAGUGCCUGCCUAGGUUGAGAAGGCGUGCGGCCUGGUGGGUGUCAAACAUGUUCACCACGUACAGCCCGAAGUCCUUCUGCAGCCACUCGAUGUCAGAAUCGGCACCGUGGAAGACCUGAAAGGACACCAGAGCCAGGUGGUACUGCGCAGGAGAAGGCGCCCGCCUCUGAGCUAACUCUGCCCCAGCUCACCCGAGCACUAGAAAUGGAGGCGUGAGAGUGAGAAGUACACGGUCUUAAAUGUUUCUUUUAAUCUGGACCAUAGCCUUCAUCUGACCUCCUAAGUGCAUAUUGUUAAGGCCUCAUGUCUGGGGAGGCAGUGCCAUCCGCCCGAGGAGUGGCCACAAGCCCAAGCAACCCUCACGGCGGCAGUGGUCAGUGUGGUGACUUAACAGGUUUCCGGCGGUAAGGGUUAGGGUAAGGGCUGUACCGUGGCUGUUCCUACAGCGUUUAGAGACCAGCCCUAGUGUGUGGAACUUAGGGUAGAUGGUAAGAUCCUCCCGGCUCUACAGGUCUGGGUGAGAAGCAGGAGCCGUGUACUGCUGGGUUUGUGGCCCUGCCUCACGAGCAGGGGCUGGGAAGGGCUGGCUGACCUUCACGAUGGCGGGGUUGGUGAGGCUCUCGUUGAGAAUGUACAUCUCGCUGCGGAGCUCCAGGGUGUCCACAAGGAAGUCUUCUGUGCGGGUGGAAAUCUGCAUCAGGCAGGUCAGGCCCAGGAAGCUUCUGUAGGAGUGGUGCUAGCGCGGGUACAGGAGGGGGUGGGAAAGGACAUCACUAGGCUUUCCGUGACUGACCCGGAGGAGUCAGCCAGAGACCGGCUACACGGGGAACUACUAACAGAAACAGGUUAGUCACCCUUUUACACUUCUCAGGUAGGGAACUCAGAGCAAAGGCACAAUUUCCAGGUCAACUGCGAGAUACCUCCAAGUCCACAGCAAACUCUUCACAGCGCAGCAGCUUCUCGUUGAGUUCCACGAGUUCAUCCAGGGAGGACACAAAGUGGCAGGGAGUUUCUUCUACAGGUCUGUACAGCUGCAGCACCAAAGUACAUCACAGUGAGAGAAAGGCGACAUUCACCCCCCCCCCCCCAAGUACACGGUGAGUCCCAGGCCGUUCUACUUUAAAGACACUCCACAAGUGUGUCCAAAGUCACAGCGAGUAAGCUACCGAUUUCCUUCUUCAGGCUCCCUGGAUAACCUCCAACCCCGGCCGGGGUGCUAACCUGGGGCUGCGGCUUCUGAAGCACUGACUCAGAUGGAGUAAAGUGAUCCAGUUCAUACUGGUAAGGAUGUGCAAACCUGAUCGAAGAAAUAAACAGACAUCUUAAUUGCAUGAUUCACAGGAAAAACAAUUACCUGAUCCAGUUUGUAAAAAUAAGUGAGGAAAAACGGCUAUUCUGCAAAUCUCUUUAUAGUAUAAAGCAUCACUACUGCAAUGUUUAUUUGAAUGUGUCAAAUAAAUCAGCUGAAAUCUGA